UAAAGAGCGAAAAUCACGAGUGGAAGCUCCAUUGUUCUCUCCCGCACGUGCACCUUCUUCUCCAUGCUUGAUCCCACUCCAACGGAUAUCCUUCUUAUCCAUGCUAGGUCCUUCAUUCAUGAGCACAACAAAAUAUCUAACUUAGGCAGGAUCAUAUGUUCAUGAACAUUAGAAGUAUUCCCAAGAAACGAAAGUAUGUGGUAAUUCAAUUGGCGUGCAAAGCUAUAGUAACUGAUCCAAUAAGUAUAGCAGCUCGGGCUGCGGGUGCAACAAUGGUGUUGAUGUCCUCAUCAUCCUCCCCUUCUUGAACUGAUGUCGUCCUCGACGGAAGCUCAUCUUCCUCACCCAAAUAUGGCAUCAAAUCUGCAAUGUUAAAAGUGGGACUAACCCCAUCAAGUAUGUAUGUAUUAUCAUUUAUUUUCUCUAACACUUUGAAAGGACCAUCAGCACGUGGCAUUAGCUUUGACUUGAGCAAAUCAGGAAACCUAUCCUUACGCAAAUGCAACCAAACAAGAUCUCCAGGUGCAAAGACAAUAUGUUUUCUACCCUUAUCUCUAGCAAAUUUAUAUUUAGCAUUCAUGCACUCAAUGUUUUCCUUAGUUAACUCAUGCAUCUUUAAUAUCAAAUCAACACGUUCUUUAGCAUCAAAAUUAACCUUCUCCGAAGAUGCAAGAGAUAACAAAUCAAUAGGUGCACGAGGUAGGAAACCAUACACAACUUCAAAAGGACACAUCUUUAUAGUAGAAUGCAGUGAACGAUUAUAAGAAAAUUCAAUAUGAGGCAAGCAUUCUACCCACAUUUUUAGAUUGUUCUUCAAAACAGCUCUAAGCAUAGUAGACAAAGAUCUAUUGACUACUUCAGUUUGUCCAUCAGUUUGGGGUGACAUGUAGUACUAAAAAGCAAUUUUGUCCACAACUUAGCCCAUAAACAUCGCCAAAAGUGGCUAAGAAAUUUAGCAUCACGAUCUGAAACAAUCGUAUUUGGCACACCAUGCAAGCGAAUAAUUUCACGAAAGAACAAAUCAGCCACAUUAGCGGCAUCAUCACUUUUAUGACAGUGUAUAAAGUGUGCCAUUUUAGAAAAUCUGCCCACGACAACAAAUAUGCUAUCCCUCCCCUUCUCUGUUAGAGGUAAGCCUAAAACAAAGUCCAUAGAUAUAUCCUCCCAAGGAACACUAGGUACAGGAAAAGGCAUAUAUAAACCAUGAGGAUUGAGUCGUGACUUAGCUUUUUGACAUGUCGUGCAGCGAGCAACAAAAUGCUCAACAUCCUGUCGCAUUCUUGGCCAACAGAAAUGUGUAGCAAGUACGUCCUCCGUAUUAUUUAUGCCAAAGUGUCCCAUCAAUCCUCCUCUAUGCGCCUCCUGUAACAACAAAAGACGAACGGAGCUAGCUGGAAUGCACAACUUAUUAGCACGAAACACAAAUCCAUUAUUAAUGAUGAACUUGUUCCAUGUUCUCCCUUCUUUACAAUUCUCCAACACAUCUUUGAAAUCAGCAUCAUGCACAUAUUGAUCUUUGAUGGUCUCCAAACCAAAUAUUUUAAAGUCAAGUUGUGAAAGCAUAGUAUAACGACGAGACAAAGCAUCAGCAAUAACAUUUUCUUUACCCUUCUUGUGUUUAAUGACGUAUGAGAAAGUCUCAAUGAAUUCAACCCAUUUAGCAUGUCUACAGUUCAGUUUUUCUUGACUUUUAAUAUGUUUCAAAGAUUCAUGAUCAGAAUGUAUGACAAAUUCUUUGGGCCAUAAAUAAUGUUGCCAUGUUUCCAAAGUCCGUAGAAGAGCAUAUAAUUCCUUAUCAUAAAUAGAAUAAUUCAGACUAGGCCCACUUUUUUUUCCAGAAAAGUAUGGAACUGGUUUAACAUCUUGUAAUAACACACCUCCUAAUCCAAUUCCACUAGUAUCACAUUCAAGCUCGAAAGUCUUAUUAAAAUAAGGAAGUUGGAGUAAAGGAGCAUGUGUUAACUUAUCUUUCAAAACUGUGAAGGAUUCUUCCUGUGCGGUACCCCAAGAAUAAGGCACAUCCUUCUUUGUAAGCUCAUUGAGAGGUGCAGCAAUGGUGCUAAAAUCUCUCACAAAACGCCUAUAAAACCCGGUGAGUCCAAGCAAACUCCUCACUUGUGUGACCGUUUUGGGCCACGGCCAACUCUCAGUAGCUUCAAUCUUGGCUUUAUCAACUUCAAUUCCCUGUGGAUUAACAACAUAGCCAAGAAAAGAUACUCAGUCUGUGCAAAAGGUGCACUUCCCAAGGUUACCAAACAAACGUGCAUCACGUAGAGCAGUAAAAACAACACGCAAAUGAUCCAAGUGUUCCUCCAAAGAUCUACUAUAAAUCAAUAUAUCAUCAAAGUAGACUACCACAAAUCAUCCAAUGAAAGCACGUAAAACCUCAUUCCUUACUCUCAUGAAAGUGUUAGGUGCAUUAGUCAAUCCAAAAGGCAUAACUAACCACUCAUAUAAGCCAAACUUAGUUUUAAAUGCCGUUUUCCAUUCAUCUCCCAUUUUCAUGCGAAUUUGAUGGUAUCCACUAUGCAAAUCAACUUUGGAGAAAAUUAUAGAGCCACUUAAUUCAUCAAGCAUAUCAUCUAGCCUAGGAAUAGGAUGACGAUAAUGAAUAGUAAUAUUAUUAAUGCCUCUACAAUCAACACACAUAUGCGAUGUACCAUCCUUUUUUGGCACUAGAAUAAUAAGAACAACACAAGGACUAAGAGAUUCACGUAUAUAACCUUUGUCGAGCAGCUCUUGUACUUGACGCAUAAUCUCCUUCGUCUCCUCUAGAUUGGUACAGUAUGGUGCACAGUUGGGUAGCGAUGCACCAGAAAUUAAGUCAAUCUGAUGCUCAAUCCCUCUAAUAGGUGGUAAUCCCGGUGGCAUGUCUUGUAGAAAGACGUCAGUGAACUCCUGCAAAAUGUUAAUGACAACAGGAGGCAAAGAGGGUGGCAUGUCCUCGAAUGAAAAUAAUACCUCUUUGCAUACGAAAGCAUAGCAAACAGAUGCAGUAAUAUCCAAAUCAAUAAUAUCAGAUUUAGUGGCAAGUAAACAACCACUCUUCAGUUUUAUUUCGGAGGCAACACUAGAUGAUGAUUUAGUAGGCUUAUUGUGUUGCUCAAAUUACUUUGCUACAAUCUGAUUUUCAACCUUAUGUAGGUCUUGUUUUGCUUUACUAGCUCUAGCAAUGUUAUCUUUCAUAAUAUGUUCAGGAGACAUAUGAAGCAAAUUAAUAUUUUGAUCCUUAUGAACAAGAGUAUACUGAUUUGUUCUACUAUGGUGUACAUAAUUUUUAUCAAAUUGUCAUGGUCUACCAAGUAAAACGGAGCAUGCUUGCAUGGGUACCACAUCACAAUCAACAAAAUCAGAAUAUGUAGCAAUGCUAAAAUGCACACUAACAGUACGUGUUACCUUAACCUUGCCACUGUUGUUGAACCACUGGAUAUAAUAAGGAUGAGGAUCUGGUCUGGUGGUGAGAGACAGCUUCUCCACCAUCUCCAUGCUAGCUAAGUUGUUGCAACUCCCUCCAUCGAUGAUUACGCGAACAGAACGUUCCUUUACCACUCCCUUAGUAUGGAACAAGUUGUGCCUCUGAUUUUGCUCAGCCCGUGUUACCUGCACACUUAAAACACAUUGAGCAACUAAGCUUCAUACCUGUCAGCGUAGUCAGCUGCCAUGUAUAGUGUGUCUUGUUCAGUAUCAUCAACACCCCGUUCUUCACUUGCAAUAAGAGCUAGAGUCUCCUCAUCGUAAUCACUAGCGGAGUCAUAUCCACCAUCCUCAGUAAUAAUCAUCACGCGCUUGGAUGGGCACUCUCUCACAUAAUGACCUCCACCCUUGCAAUGCCUACAAAUAACCUCAUGUGUUUGACCUGUGGAUGCGAUGGAUGAAGAAGAGCUCUAUGCGGGCCCAGAAGAUGUGCUCUUGGUGAAGUGUGGUGCAGGGGCUUGAUUCCUGGUAUCUCUAUGAAUUGGUGGCUGAAUGAGGCGGUGCUAAUGCAGGAGGACGUGUGGAAGUAGAUGUGGUUCGUGGCGUCCAUGAGGAAGUGCGACCUGCAAAAAAAUUAGUUCUUGCCAAUGCUUGUCGAUCCUGCACUUCACGUUCAGCUUUGCAAGCAAGAUGGAAUAAACGAGUGAUAUUGUUAUAAUCCUUAUAUUCUAGAAUAGUAUGAAUAUCUCUAUUUAAACCACCCAUAAAACAUGCAAGCAUAGCUUCAUUGUCCUCAACAAUACCACAUCUAAUCAUGCCAGUUUGUAAUUCCUGAUAAUAUUCUUCUACAGACUUUUUCCCUUGUCUUAAACGCUGCAAGUUUUGAAGUAAUUCACAUUGAUAAUAUGGUGGAACCCAACGAGUACGCAUAGCAGUUUUAAACGUAGGCCAAGUAGUUGGAAUAUUAGCAUGAUGUAUUCUACAAUAUUCAGACCACCAAACACAAGCAAAACUAGUGCAAGAGCAAAUAGCAGCAGCAACACGUCUAUCUUUAGGAAAUUGCAAGCAUGUAAAACGUUGCUCUGUUUCUAACUCCCAAGUAAGAUAUAUAUCAGGAACAUAUCAACCAUCAAAAGUAGGAAUAUUCAUUUUAAGUUAGGGAGGUGGUCAUGAUCCCGUACCUGAGGGUGUGGUGCAUCCCUACCAUUGCGACUGUAUCCAUGUGGACGUCCGGCGGCUUGUCGUGGUGGUUGUUGUUCCUGGUGCUGAACUGGAGCAACCUCUCCCUCAUCAUCGUAAUCACCAUCAUAAUCAUCAUCAUACUCCUCAUUCUGCUCAGCCACAGAAACCUCGGUGGUAGCAGCACCAGGACCAGCCGUAGCAGUAGGAGCAACAACACCAAAGUUCUGCACUUGGCCAACAGGAACGCAUCGCGCUCGUAGCCGUUGUUGUGUUGAAGAGGGACAACAGCUGGAACUGGUGGUGGUAAUCGGGCCAGCACCUCAUUGAAGUGGGCGUUCAUCUUGGUGUCAAAAAAAUUUUCCAUACCUUCGAGCUUGUCCUUGGCCUCUCCAAAGGUGGUCACGAAAUCCUGUACCUGGUCAGACAUCAUUUGUUGAAAUUUAUCAUGGAGCUCUCGGUUGGUCAUGUUCUCCCAGUCGAUCUCCUCGUCGUGUGAUCCUGGCAUGGUUAGCAGCAAUAGGAACACAGAAGAAUAUGAACCUACAGACUACUAGGAAGUGGNUGGUGGUGGUGUGUGCUACCUCUUGAGAUUGCGUUGGUUUUUCCCUUGAAGAGGACAGGGUCAUGCAGCACAGUAGCAGUAAGUAUUUCCCUUAGUUUUGAGAACCAAGGUGUCAAUCCAGUAGGAGUAUCAAGCCAACUUUCCAAAGUACGUGCGCAAAAAACAGCAAACUUGCAUCCAACGCUACAAAGGGGUUGUCAAUCCCUUCACGAUUGAUUGCAAGGUGAGAUCUGAAGGCGGAAAGUGCAACGAAGUAAAAGUGUAAGGCGGAAAAUAUGAUGUGAAGUAGACCUGGGGGCCAUAGUGUUCACUAGAGGCUUCUCUCAAAAUAGCAAAUAUUACGGUGGGUGAACGAAUUAUUGUCGAGCAAUUGAUAGAACCGCGCAAAGUCAUGACAAUAUCUAAGGCAAUGAUCAUACAUAUAGGCAUCACGUCCAAGACAAAUAGACCAAUACUGUCUGCAUCUACUACUAUUACUCCACACAUCGACCGCUAUCCAGCAUGCAUCACGUGUAUUGAGUUCAUGACGAACAAAGUAACGCCUUAAGCAAGAUGACAUGAUGUAGAGGGAUAAAUUCAUGCAAUAGAUAUAAACCCCAUCUUUUUACCCUUGAUGGCAACAACAUGAUGGAUGCCUCGCUGCCCCUUCUGUCACUGGGAGAGAUCACCGCAUGGUAUGAACCCAAAACCAAGCACUUCUCCCAUUGCAAGAAUCAUAGAUCAAGUCGGCCAAACAAAACCCACAACUCGAAGAGAAUUACAAGGGUAUGAAAUCAUGCAUAUAAGAGAUCACAAGAAACUCAAACAAUAUUCAUAGAUAAUCUGAUCAUAAAUCCACAAUUCAUCGGAUCUCGACAAACACACCGCAAAAGAAGAUUACAUCGGAUAGAUCUCCAUGAAGAUCAUGGAGAACUUUGUAUUGAAGAUCCAAGAGAGAGAAGAAGCCAUCUAGCUACUAGCUAUGGAUCCAAAGGUCUAUGGUGAACUACUCACGCAUCAUCGGAGAGGUCAUGGUGUUGAUGAAGAAGCCCUCCAUAUCCGAAUCCCCCCUCCGGCAGGGCACCAGAACGUGCCCCAGAUGGGAUCUUGCGGAGAUAGAAGCUUGCGGCAGCGGAAAAGUAUUUUCGUGGAACUCUCGCGUAGUUUUGGAUUUUUCGGGAAUUUAUAGGCGGAAGAGGUAGGGCAGACGAGCCACAGGUGGCCCACAAGCCUGCUAGGCGCCCCCCUGGUCGCGCCUAGGAGGCUUGUGGCCUCCCGUGGUGGCCUCUGCCUAGGUUCUCAUGCCCCCUGCGUAUCUUCUGUUCCGGAAAAAUCUUUUCGGAGGUUUUAUUCCGUUUGGACUCCGUUUAAUAUUCUCCUCUGAAAAGGGUCAAAAACACGGAAAAACAAGAACUGGCACUUGGCACUGAGUUAAUAAGUUAGUCCCAAAAAAGGAUAUAAAAGGCAUACAAAACAUCCAAAGUUUGACAAGAUAAUAGCAUGGAGCAAUAAAAAAUUAUAGAUACGUUGGAGACGUAUCAAGCAUCCCCAAGCUUAACUCCUGCUCGUCCUUGAGUAGGGAAGUGAUAAAGAAUGAAUUUUUGAUGUGGAAUGCUACCUAGCAUAUGUGUCCUUUGUAACUUCUUUCAUGUGACAUGAAUGUUCAGAUCCAUAAGAUUCAAAACAAUAGUUUGCUAUUGACAUGAAAACAAUAAUACUUCAAGCAAACUAGCAAAGUAAUUAUGAACUUUCGAAAUAACAAGGCCAAAGAAAAUUAUCCCUGCAAAAUCAUAUAGUGUGGCUAUGCUCCAUCAUCCCCACACAACGAAUUUAAAUCAUGUACAACCCCGGUAUUGGCCAAGUAAUUGUUUUUGCACUCUUACUUUCUCAAACUUUUUUCAACUCUCACGCAAUACAUGAGCGUGAGCCAUAUAUAUAGCACUAUAGGUGGAAUAGAGUGUGGUGGAGGUUGUGAGACAAAAAGGAGGAGAUGGUCACAUCGACUCAGCGUAUCAAAGGGCUAUGGAGAUGCCCAUUAAUAGAUAUCAAUGUGAAAGAGUAGGGAUUACCAUGCAAUGGAUGCACUUAGAGCUAUAAGUAUGUGAAAGCUCGAAAGGAGAACUAGUGGGUGUGCAUCCAACUUGCUUGCUCACGAAGACCUAGGGCAAUUUUGAGGAAGCCCAUCAUUGGAAUAUACAAGCCAAGUUAUAUAAUGAAGAUUCCCACUAGCAUAUGGUGGUGACAAAACAAGAGACUCUCAAUCAUGAAGAACAUGGUGCUAUUAUGAAGCACAAGUGUGGAAAAGAUAGUAGCACUGUCCCUUCUCUCUUUUUCUCUCUUUUUUUUAGUUUGGGCUCUUUGGCCUAUUUCCAUAUCUCUUUUUUUGUGGGCAACUUUGGCCUCUUUUUUUUAUUUCCUCACAUGGGACAAUGCUCUAAUAAUGAUGAUCAUCACACUUUAAUUUACUCAAAGCUCAAUGUUUAGAACGAUGAUGACUCUAUAGGAAAUGCCUCCGGCAGUGUACCGGGAUGUGCAACGAUCUAGCUUGGCGUAUGAUGUUGAAAAAAUCUCGCUAGCUAUCGUACGAUCAUGCAAAGGCAAUAUGAAAGUGACAGCACAUGUCAUGAGACGGAACGGUGGGAGUUGUAUGGCAAUAUAUCUCGGAAUGGCUAUGAAAAUGCCAUAGGGGGUGUUUGGUUGGGAUUCCAGCCAGCUUCCGGCUUCCGGCUUCAAAGCCAAAAGCUCCUAUUUAGGGGCUUCCGGCUGCAACUGUGGCUUUCGGUUGCGGCUGUGACAAGGAUGAAAGCCACAGCUGCAGCCGGAAGCCCCUAAAGAGGAGCUUUUGGCUUAAAAGCCGAAAGCCGGAAGCUGGCUGGAAGCCCAACCAAACACCGUCAUAGUAGGUAGGUAUGGUGGCUGUUUUCAGGAAGGCAUAUGGUGGGUUUGUGCACCGGCGAAAGUUGCGCGGCACUAGAGAGGCUAGCAAUGGUGGAAGGUGAAAGUGCAUCUAUACCAUGGACUCACAUUAGUCAUGAAGAACUCACAUACUUCUCGCGAAAGUUUUUAUUAGUAAUCGAAACAAAGUGCUGAGAGCAUACUCCUAGGGGAAGGGUUGGUAGGUGCUAACCAUCGCGCAAUACCGACCGCAACACAAAGGAUGACAAUCAAUAGAUCAAUUAUGCUCCGACUUCCUAACAUAGCGGUUCACCAUACGUGCAUGUUACGGGAAUCACUAACUUCAACACAAGUAUUUCUAGAUUCACAACACCCUACUAACAUAACUCUUAAUAUUACCAAAUCCAUGUCUCAAAAAUAUUUGAGAGGAAUCAAACUUCUCUUUCUAAUCAAUGCACAUGAAGAUGGAAGUUUUAUUGUAUCCUCUUUGGGUACCUAUCACCUUUGGGACUACUUUCAUAGGACAAGCCAACUACCAAGUUACUCAAAGAGAUCACUCUCAAAAAGAUAUAAGUGAAGAUCGAGAGUUCUUAUUUCUCCAAAAUAUAACAUGGCCAUGCUCUAAAAGAUCUAAGUGAAGCACUCAGAGCAAAAUUAUCUAGCUCAAAAGAUAUAAGUGAAGCACAUGUGAGCUAAAUUGCCUAACUCAAAAGAUAUAAGCGAAGCUCAAAGAGUAUUCUAGAAAAUUCACGAUGAGUGCAUGUCUCUCUCAAAAGGUGUGCAGCAAGGAUGAUUGUGACACAACAAAAAUAAAAGACUCCUAUGAUACAAGACGCUCCAAGCAAAACACAUAUCAUGUGGUGAAUAAAAAUAUAGCUCCAAGUAAUGUUACCGAUGGAUUGAAGAUGAAAGAGGGGAUGCCUUCCCGGGGCAUACCCAAGCUUAGGCUUUUUGAUGUCCUUGAAUUUGCUUGGGAUGCCUUGGGCAUCCCCAAGCUUGAGCUCUUUCCACUCUUUAUCCCUUUGUCCAUGAGAGCAUCACCCAAAACUUGAAAACUUCACAACACAAAACUUAAACAGAAACUCGUGAUAUCAUUAGCACAAGAAAACAAACUACCACCUCUUUAGGUACUGUAGCAAACUUGAUUUCUAUUUAUAUUGGUGUUAGAUUACUGUAUUCUCACUUUUCCAUGGCUAAUACCCCCUGAUACUAUCCAUAGUUUCACCAAAACAAGCAAUCAACACAACAAAAACAGAAUCUGUCAAAAACAGACCAGUGUGUAGCAAUCUAUAUACUUCGUAUACUUCUGGUAUCUAAACAAUUAUGAACAAUUACGACAGUUUGGACAAUUAGCAUAUAAACCAGAAGCAAAAAAGAAUCAACUAAAAAGGUCUUUCUGAAUUAAAAUGAAAAAUAAUUUCGUGAGAGAAAAGUUUAUGUCUUUUUCCAGCAGGAUCAAACAACCAUCACCAAAACUAGUCAUAAAGGUUUUACUUGGAUCAAACACAAAAAGAAACACAAAAAACACAAUCAUAACAGAAUUAUGAUGGUGUGGACGCAACAAAACAGAAAGCAAAAAAGAAAAGAUAAAUUCAUUGGGUUGCCUCCCAACAAGCGCUAUUGUUUAACGCCCUUAGCUAGGCAUUGAUAAUUCAAUGAUGCUCACAUAAAAGAUAGCAAUCGGACACGAAGAGAGCAUCAUGAAACAUGUGAAAAUCACAUAUAAGUCUAACAUACUUCCUAUGCAUAGGCAUUUUAUAAGAAAACAAAUUAUCAAGACAAGCAAUAACUACAUUAUGCAAGGAAGAAGGAAGAGACAAUAUCAAUCUCAACAUAACGAGAGGUAAUUUAGUGAUAUGAAAGUCUCUACCAUAAUAUUUCCCUCUCUCAUAACAAUUACAUGUGGGAUCAUAUUCAAAUUCAACAAUAUAGCUAUCACAUAGGAUAUUCUUUUCAUGAUCCACAUGGAUGCAAAGUUGACAAUCUUCAAAAAUAGUGGGAUUAUCAUCAACUGAAGUCAUGUCUUCUCCAAACCCACUUUCAAAAAUAUUGCAAAUAUCAUAUUCAUCAUGAGGCUUAAACAAAUUUUCAAGAUCAUAAGAAAAAUCAUUACCCCAAUCAUGAUCAUUGCAACAAGUAGGGCACAUAGAAAAACUAGCAUCCCCAAGCUUAGGGUUUUGCAUAUUUUUAGCAUGAUUGUAUUAAUAGAAUUUAUAAUGAAACCAUUGCAAUCAUGCUUUUCAUUCAAGGAGCCCUCGUGAAUCACUUCAUAAAUUUCUUCAUCACGAUUUUCAGAUUCACGCAUCUCAUGCAAAACUCCAUAGAGAAAGUCAAGUGCACUCAACUCACUAGCAAAUGGUUCGACAUAAUUGGAUCUCUUAAAGAGAUUAGCAAGUGAUGAGGAUCCAUAUCAAUAGAUUUUCACCAAGCGAAGAUGCGAGCAUAUUGAAGGCACAUAGCACACAAGCAAAGGAAAGGAAAACGAAAAAGGCAAAUAUUUUUGUAAAUUUUUGUUUUUCAGAAGCGGGGGAGAAGAAAACGAGAGGCAAAAAAGUAAAUGCAAGAGAUGAGUUUGCGACACUUACUUGGAUAAGCUUCACUUAGAAUAAUUCCCGGUGCCAGAGAUUGACACAUUGACGGGAGACUAUUCUUGACUCGAUCCUCCCCGGCAAAGGUGCCAGAAAUUGGCACGUUGAUGGGAGACUAUUCUUGUCUUGAUCCUCCUCCCCGGCAACGGCACCAGAAAUUCUUCUUGCUACCUCUUGAGCUUGCAUUGGUUUUUCCCUUGAAGAGGACAGGGUGAUGCAACACAGUAGCAGUAAGUAUUUCCCUCAGUUUUGAGAACCAAGGUGUCAAUCCAGUAGGAGUAUCAAGCCAAGUUUCCAAAGUACCUGCGCAAAAACAGCAAACUUUCACCCAACGCUACAAAGGGGUUGUCAAUCCCUUCAUGAUUGAUUGCAAAGUGAGAUCUGAAGGUAGAAAGUGCAACGAAGUAAAAGUGUAAGGCGGAAAAUAUGAUGUGAAGUAGAACCGGGGCCAUAGUGUUCACUAGAGGCUUCUCUCAAAAUAGCAAAUAUUACGGUGGGUGAACGAACUACUGUCGAGCAAUUGAUAGAACUGCGCAAAGUCAUGACGAUAUCUAAGGCAAUGAUCAUACAUAUAGGCAUCACGUCCGAGACAAGUACACCGAUACUGUCUGCAUCUACUACUAUUACUCCAAACAUCGACCGCUAUCCAGCAUGCAUCUAGUGUAUUGAUGUCACAUCCCUGGAUUCCCUAUUAGGGUUUAGCAAGUUGUGCUCAUGUCUUCUCUCUUUGCAUCCAAGAAAUGGAAAUGAACUCAAAGGAAGUGGGGAAAUCAAAGCAAAACCCUAGCCAGUCCUUAUUCGUAAGAUAAUUCAACAAGUGCCAAAUCAAUGAACCCAAAAUGGCCAUUAGAAAAGUUCAUCUUUUGUGUUAGAUGUUGAAAACAAGAUAUCAGAGGUGAAACAUAUUUUCAAAAUACUUUUGGCAUUUUAAUUUUAAGUUAAAAGCUACUAAAAUCAACUAUAUAUUUGAUUUCAAAUAUUUCAAAGUUUUGAAAAAUGUUGAAAACUUCAUAUGUGGUUCGAAAUAUUCCAGCUAACACUUUAGUAUCAUUCAAACUAUUUUAGGAAUAGUUUGGAGCCAAAAAUAAAACAAAACAAAGUCUGUAAUUAAAUAUCAGAAACAUACAUGAAAGGAAUAAGAAAAAAACCUAUCUAACGCUUACCUGAGGCCCAGCCCACCUUUUCCCUCUCGUCUACCUCGUGCCAGCGAGCAGCAGGAGGUGGCCGCCGCUCGCUCCGGCGCGGCCACGCACCUGCGUGCUUGCUUGGACCUCCCCGUCGCGUUGGCAAGGAGGAUAAGCCUCCCCGCGAACCAUUCCACCUCUCUCCCUGUCCUCAUUCUCCCCCUUUGCCCCUCCCCUCUCGGCCGCCAUUAGAGCUCGAGCUCGAGCUAGCCGUUGUCUCUAGCCACCGGAAGUCUCCCUGAGCAUGCCGUUCGCUCCGCCUCAACGAGCUGGUCGUCCCUGCCAAAGGAGAAGAGCCCCUGACCCCUACAUCGCCAGAUCCCCGUCGUCUUCCUCCUCGGGCCGUCAUUGAUCGCCGCCGCCGUUCUCCCUCCUCAGGCCAUCCCCGAGCAUGUUUUCGACGCCGCUGCACUCCCUGUGAGCUCAAGGUUCUUUUCCCCUCUUUUCCCCCUUCGAUUCCGAGCUCUAGGCCCCGAUUCCACCGGAGCCCGACGAGAUCCGCCGUGGGACCUCGUCGCCGGUAGCCCUCCGGUGAUCGGCUGGUCAAUCUCAGGCCACCAAUGGCUUUAGUUCAUUGCGUAGGUGCUGUAGGAGCCUAGCCCCACGCGUGUUGAGCCCCGUAUCAGUGACCCCGAUGAUGCCCGAGCUUCGGCCGCCGCCGAGCUCGUCGCCGGCGUCAUCUCCGGCCAUUUCAACCCCUGCUGCGUGCAAAAAUGGAACCUUGGGUGAAGUGCCAUUCUUCUGGUGCCCUCCGUGUGAAGUUUGGUUGCCGGAAUGGAAAUCCCGAGCCCCUCCGCCGUCUCUGUGGUCGCCAGAGGCUCAUCGCCGGCGAGAUCCACCUCGCCGCCGGUGGAUCUGACUCCCUUGAGUCAGUGGCAAGUGGGGCCAGCCCCCAGGCUAAUUAGGAUUAGAAAAAUAAAAAGAAAGAUUAUUUUAAAAUCUAAUCAGACACUGACAUGUGGGUCCAACCCUGUUAAUUAGCUAUUUAAGUUAAACUUAAACUAAAAACUGGCCAGAGUCACUCACUAGUGGGUUCCCUUGGUCAGGUUUGACUUUCAACGGCCAGAUUGACCUGCUGAUGUAAUGCUGAUGCAAUAAAACCUUUUUUGUUUAAAAAUAAUUCCAGAAUAAGUUCAAAACUUUGGAAAUUCAUAGAAAAUUGAAUAUAACUCCAAAUUUGACAAAUAACAUAUGUAAAAUGAUCAGAAAAAUUCAAGGAAUCUAAUGGUGCUAUUUUCAUGUAUGAAAAACAAAGUUAUGAAACAGCAUCAGGUCAAAUCAAUUAAAAGAAUUUGCUAAAUUAUAAUUGAUAUGAUAUUUGAAUUAUGGUUUCAAAUCAAUAUCACCCAAAAGGUUCUGUUAGUCAUCUCAAACCACGAUACAUUGCAUUUCAUGCAUCAUUUUGUUGCAUAUGCUUGAUAUUGAUUGAUUGUUGUUAUUCCGGUAGGCUCUGCCCCUCCGGAUACGACUGAUUAUCCGACUGACGGAUAUCACCCCUCUGCUGAGCAACAAGGCAAGCAACCAUUUUGAUCAUCCCGAUAAAACCCAUGUUCUCGCUCCUGCUCUUACUUAUUGCAUUAGGUUAAAAUGCUUCCAGUGCUUUUACCAUGUUAGUUGAACCCACUUCCUUUGCAUGACCUGUCCUUGUCAUAGUAAAUAGCUGAACCUUGCAACCUAGCAUACCUGGUAGAUGCUUGAGCCAUGAAGUGCCUUAUCCUGCUAUGCAUGCUAUGCUUAGAGUUGUGUAUGGUCUGUCAUCUGGGUGAUGAACAGGAUCGUGAGAAUGUGUUUAGUUAGUAAAGGUUGUGUGUUGAACCUGAUUUGGUAAAGGUAUCGGUGAAAGGCUAUGUAGGAGUACAUGGCGGGUUGUUUCAUUGGAACCGUCCUUAGGAACUAAGUUAUGUGUAUGUAAUCCAAGUCAAGAUACUACCACAUGCUGGGCCCUGAAAUAUGACCCCGCUCGACUUAUUAUUCGCCUAGUACUCGGUCUAGGAGUUGCAAGUAGUUUCUGGUGUUUAUAGUCAAGCUAGAGGCUGUGCGUAGCGCUGACCUUAGAGGUGGGCUAUGAUGCGGUAGGCACUGGCACGGUGUACCAAGUGGCACCCGGAUGGUGGGCUUGGGAACCCUGCGCACGUCGUUUGGGGCCGUGGCGGAAACCUUGACCGGACUUCCGUGGAGGUUACCCUCAGAUAGGCGAUAGAUCUGGACUAAGUAUUAGCGUGGUUAACGGUCGUGGCCGACUCCCUCGUUGGGCUUCCGCUUGAAGGUUGACGAGAUGCAUGACGUGCACAUGGUGAUAAGUGCGAGAGCAUGUGUUAAGAAGUACACCCCUGCAGGGUUAUGAUCUACUCGAAUAGCCGCGUCCGCGGAUAUGGACUACUUGGAAACAUAUGUUGUUCAUAGAUAACUAUAAUGGCUACUCAUAAAAUUGUCAAGAUUAGUGUGAGUCUCGUGGAUGGCAUUUCCGUAGGGAGUCGGAAUGAUUCCACGAUGGAGAAUUGUUGUGGUGUUAGUGGACACGUGUGCGAGAAAACAUAGUUGUAAAAACUAUUUAAAAAUGCAAGUUGUCUAGCCAAGAGUCAAAUGCUGGCUUUCUGCAUGAAACCCCACAACUCCUUGUUGGUACAUUGCAUGAGUAGAUAGAUUAUCCUAAAGUCUUGCUGAGUACUUUUGUACUCGUCUUUGCUUAAUAAAUUUUUGCAGAGGUUGUUAAUGACCCUAAUGGAGGGUUCUUCCUAGACGUUGACGACGACGAGUAGCUGGUGUCACAGCUAUGAUCUGGCCCUAGGUUAGGUCUGUAGAUAGUCAGGCCAUGUGCCUUUAUCUUUCUAGUUGUCUAUACUCAGAUAGUUUUAUUCUUCCGUUGGCUUGUAAGAUUUGUGUAUAUGACUUGUGAUGAUGGGUCGUGAGACCCCUAUCUAUGUAAUAUUAUGUGUGAGGCUCUUCCCAGCCUUCUAAAUAAAGUUUGUAUGUUUAUGGUUAUGUUGUGAUGCAAUCGAUGUAUCUAUGCAUAUCGGUAUGCCAUGCGUACGUGUGUUGUACUUGAUAUGUAUGGGGUUCGAAUACCUAGUCGUAUGCCUUAGUAGCACUCCUUACGGGGAAAUGCCCCUUUGUGAUUCCAUCGUGCCAUGGUAGUUCGCUACUGCUCCGGACACAUUGGUUGACCGGCAUGUGUCCUCCUUAGCUGUUGUGUCUGUCCCUUUGGGAAAUGUCACGCGUUGUAAUGGAGUCCUUGUAGCUUGCUACUACUCGUCUACAUUUGCUGAUGACCGACACCUGCUUUGUUGGGUCAUGUAUGCCUGUCCUUGUACGGAACUGUCGCUUGAGUUUAUGACUAGACAUGUCGAUCCGGGUUCUUUGACAUUGGAUUGCUAGCAAAACAAUUGCAUACGCAAGUCAAAAGGCGCAAACGGUCACGGCUAAGGUAAGGCUGCAGCCGUGGGGAUAACCAUGUGUCAGACUGCAAAGAGAUGUGAUGUGUUAUAGGCUGGAUUCCUAUGACUUAGGAUCGGGAUCCCGACAGCGUUGGUAUCAGAGCCUGACUGACUGUAGGAUUACUAAGCCAAACUGGUAGAGGUUGAGUCUACAAUUGCUUUAGUUACACAUAAGGGAAUUGUUUGUGGGAGGGAACGUAAGACUCUUGCUUCUCUUCUUAAAUUAUUCUACUCUGGUCAUCCUCAUCUUUUCUGUGGGGAUUAAGGACUAGGUUACUUAUCUUUCUCUUAGGCUCGUGUUUUCUGAUCGGUAGAUGAUAGGACAACGAGUCCAGAGUUACUUCGAGUUUCUCUUAUUUCAAGGAAAAGAAAGUAAGUUUUGAUGACCAAGGAAUUGAACUUGAUAGUUGAGUGGUUAUGCUAUCCUAUCUUUGUGGGUUGUCUCAAAAUUGUUUUUGAGCAUUUACAGCCGUUAUGCUGCCCAAAUAUUGUCUUUAGAGGUUUAAAUGCUUUUGCAUUACUCUCUAUUUUCAUAUGCCUGGCCAUCCUUUUCGUCAGGUGGUCCGUCUGACUAGGUGCAUUGAUGUGCCAGGUCAUACGGCCAUGCUAGUCAGGAUGAUGUCAGUAGCCGGUUACCGCUGGUACCCAGAGUACACAAUGGAGGAGCAGUACCGGGAUUUUAAUCAGAGUCAGUAUCUCUGCACUGUUAGGGUAUCCCCAGAUUACCCUGGAGCUGAGGAGCCGAUCCAUUGGUCUUAUGGAUUGGGGGUCACUGUUGACAUGGCAGUACAAGAUGCUGCCUAUUCAAUGCUGACCAUCAUGAGGGCCAGACAUGCACUGUUGCAAAAUUCAGAGUUCUGUUAUGUUCCUGCCUCUCAGCCAGGAGAAGAAGGAUACCUGAGUGGGGUCUACUUUGAUUCCUCUAUGGAGGAUCCACUGCUGAGAUGCUAGAGAAUAGAGACACGGAUGCUCGUGCCCUUCAUAUGGAGCUCUAUGCUACACGUGCCCGCCUGUGGACGGCUUUGACACAGCUAGCACCUGUAGUCCAGACAGGGUAUGGCGAUAUGGAGAUGUUGAACCUUGUUAGGACCCAUCUUACGGCUCUUGUUGACUGGCCUGCUAUAGGAGGAGUCACCCCUCUUCGAGGACCUCUACUACCACCAGUCGCGGGACCAAGGCCACACCCGUGCCCUUACGGUUCCCAGGGGUCUCAGGCUCGAGUAUUUCCUGAUCCGCAGGUUGAGCUCCCAAGUCAUGGAGGCAACCUUUAUGAGAUGUUCUAUGCGGAUGCCUGAACCCGUGAGUGGAAGGAUAGUAUGGUAGUAGUUAUACUUCCACAGUCAUGUGUGUCUUGUGGAGUAUGCUUAUGUCGUGAGAUGAAUUCCGGAGGCAUAGAUAAAUAAUGUAUAGGAAGCUUGGAAAGCCUCUGAUGAGUUGUGUCAUCUUUUCAGUAGUUUGCUCUUCGGUUAAGGUUGUACUGAACUAUGUAAUGGUGUGUAUGAACCAUGGUGUAUAUAUAGCAGUUUCUUGUUACCAUGUUGUUCGGAUGUUCAUUUCCGCAUUCCAUGUGUUUAGUGCAUUCUUAAUCCAUAGUUAGUAUUGAUGUUGAUAUUGGUCUAAGCUGUGAGUUUGUUUGUCAGGAUGGUGUUCACAAGGUUGAACCGUGCCCCUGUUCAUGAGCAGGGAGAGGGUAGUCAAGCAUCGCAGGAGGAACUGCCUCACCCGCCCUCUCUGGCGGAAGUAAUGCUUGAGGCAGAAAGAAACAAAAGGGAGACCAACCGUCUGUUAGAGCGUAUUGAGAAAAAUAUGGCUCGUCAGCCUAGGAAUGAUGCAGUGUCCCUCAAUGACUUUGUGAAGCUGAAUCCUCCGAAGUUCCAUCACUCCGUCGACCCCCUCGACGCUGAUGACUGGUUGUGCAGUAUAUCGUGCAAGAUUCGCUCUGCAAAUGUUUCUGAGGCCGACAAGGUGACCUUUGCGGCGUACUUCCUGGAAGGACCCGCCAAUUUGUGGUGGGAGAACUUUGAAGCUAUGAGCCCUGCCGGACCAGUAGCCACACGGGCAGACUUUAGUGCAGCCGUUCGUAUGCACCAUAUUCCAGAGGGUCUGAUGGACAGAAAGAGAGAGGAGUUCUGUGCAUUCACCGAGGGAAAAUUGACCGUGGAUGCCUAUAGCCGCGAGUUCGGUACACUCGCCCGCUAUGCAACUGAAGAGGUGUCAACUGAUGCCAAGAAGCAAGCACGAUUCCGCAAGGGUCUGAGCCCCGAACUUCGUCCUGAUCUGCGCCUCCACGAAUGUACAAGCUUUGAAGCUCUUGUCAACAAGGCGAUCAGUGCCAAGACUGGUCAUACCGACUAUGAAGCCACAAGGAAGCACUCCCGUGACUCUGGCUAGUCAUCUGGUUCAGCGUUCCCAAAACGGAGGUUGUGGGUUCCAAAUAGUUCUCUGCCGCCAAGAUAUACCCCGAGGCCAUCCUAUGUGGCGCCUCAGGCAAAUCAGACCAACCCUCCAGCAAAACCCUAUGGUGGCCCAGCUAGCAAUGUUGCACCACGUGCCAAUCAGGUGAUAUGUUACAAGUGUGGAGAACCAGGGCACUAUUCCCGAGAGUGUCCUCAGAAUAUGGGUGCCAAGCAACCUGGAAAGUCCGUUGGGCAAGGCAAGUCGGGCAAAGCUUACUAUGUGAAGCCAACUCCUGCACGUGGCCGUGUGAACAAUGUUUCAACAGAAGAAGCUACACAGGAUCCCGACGUCAUUCUAGGUACGCUCCUUGUCAAUCAUCACCCAGCGUCUGUUCUUUUUGACACUGGGUCAUCUCAUUCCUUUAUUUUAGAAAGUUAUGCACGGUUGCAUAACAUGUCUUUCUGUGAUAUGCCAAUCCCAUUAGUUGUCCAAACCCCUGGUAGUAAGUGGCAAACCUCCAGGAUAACCUAUGACAAUGAAAUUCUAGUAGACAGGCUAGUUUUUCUAGCAUCUUUGAUAGCCUUGAAGUCUUCGGAUAUCAAUAUCAUCUUGGGUAUGUAUUGGAUGUCGGCCCAUUAUGCCAAGAUUGAUACUCAUUCUAGAAAUGUUCAUCUUACCCAUCCCUCGGGUGAGAUAGUCAAUGUCUCUACUCGAGUUGCCAAAUGCCAACUCUAUUCCCUCAAUGCCAACCCUCUUCCAGAACUUGAAGACAUUCUGGUAGUCCGUGACUUUCCGGAUGUUUUUCCAGAAGAACUGCGAGGAAUUCCACGUGACAGGGAUGUGGAGUUUGUGAUAAACCUUGUUCCGGGAACUGUCCCAAUAGCCAGAAGACCUUAUAAGAUGGCACCCUUGGAGCUAGCCAAACUUAAGAAGCAAUUAGAUGAGGCCUUGAAUAAAGGUUUCAUUCGUCCUAGCUCCUCUCCUUGGGCUUGUCCCGUCCUCUUCGUUAAGAAGAAAGACGGAACGGAUCGGAUGGUUGUAGAUUAUCGACCAGUUAACCUGGUCACCAUAAAGAACAACUAUCCGCUCCCCAGGAUCAACGAUCUGUAUGAUCAGCUCGUUGGAUCCUCAGUCUUCUCCAAAAUGGAUUUGAGGUUGGGAUACCAUCAAAUCAAGAUCAAGAACGGGGACAUCCCAAAAACGGCUUUUGUCACUCGUUAUGGCCAACACGAGUACACCGUCAUGUCCUUUGGUUUAACCAAUGCCCCAUCCACCUUCUCUCGCUUGAUGAAUUCAAUCUUCAUGGAGUAUUUGGAUAAAUUCGUCAUAGUAUACCUCGAUGAUAUUCUCAUCUAGUCGAAGAACGAACAAGAACAUGCCGAGCAUCUAAGGCUGGUAUUGAUGAAACUUCGAGAGAACCGCCAGUAUGCCAAGUUUUCAAAAUGUGAAUUUUGGUUACUAGAAGUGACCUAUCUAGGUCACGUAAUCUCUGGUAAGGGUAUUGCUAUCAAUCCCGAGAGAGUUCAAGCUGUCCUUGAUUGGACUCAACCUGAAUCGGUUAAGAAAGUUAGGAGUUUUCUUGGUCUAGCGAGCUAUUUUCGCCGCUUUGUCGAGAAUUUCUCCAAGGUUGCAAAGCCUCUAACUGAACUCCUCAAGAAAGACAAAAAGUUCGAGUGGGCACCAUAGUGUGAGCAUAGUUUACAUGAACUGAAAAGACGCCUGACUUCCGCACCUGUGUUGCUACCACCAGAUUUCUCUAAGGACUUUGUUAUCUACUGCAACGCCUCAUGACAAGGAUUAGGUUGCAUUCUCUUGCAUGAUCGUCAUGUGAUUGCAUACGCAUCUCGACAGUUGCGUGCACAUGAGGAAAAUUAUCCCACACAUGAUCUUGAGCUUGCAGCUAUAGUCCAUGCACUUAAAACCUGGCGACAUUGCCUUCUUGGUAAUCGUUGCGAAACAUUCACUCAUCACCAAAGUCCGAAAUAUAUCUUCACCCAGCCGGAUUUGAAUCUCAGGCAAAGACGGUGGGUUGAGUUGAUCACGGAUUACGACUUAGGGAUAACUUACACCCCGGGGAAGGCCAAUGUUAUGGCUGAUGCACUAAGUCGUAAGUCUUAUUGUAACAAGCUGAUGCUACAACGAGGUCAACCACAUCUCUAUGAGGAAUUUCAGAAGUUAAAUCUUCACAUUGUUCCUCAAGUAUUCCUUUCUAACCUGGUGGCGAAGCCUGCUCUUAAGGAUCAAAUCAUAGCUGGCCAUAAGCGUGAUUAGGGUAUAUCACGGAUCAAGGGGAAUAUUAUUAGUGGAAACGCUUAGGAAUUCUCCAUGAAUGAUCAAGAUGUUGUGUUCUUCCAGAAUCGUCUAGUGGUUCCUAAGAAUCCACAUCUAAGGGAGUUAAUCCUUAAGGAGGCUCAUGAUUCUCCUCUCACCAUUCAUCCUGGUAGUACUAAGAUGUAUCAGGACCUACGCCAGAGGUUUUGGUGGACUAGGAUGAAGAGAGAAAUUGCUGAGUUCGUUGCUAACUGUGACGUUUGUCGUCGAGUUAAGGCAGAACAACAAAGGCCUGCUGGCACCCUUCAACCUUUAGCUAUUCCUGAAUGGAAAUGGGAUAAAGUCAGUAUGGAUUUCAUCACCGGAUUUCCCAAGACCAAGAAAGGAAAUAAUGCUAUCUUUGUGGUCAUUGACCGUCUUUCCAAAGUAACUCAUUUUCUUCAAGUUCGUGAGAGUAUAAUAGCUAGCCACCUAGCAGAGUUAUAUAUCUCUCGAAUAGUGUCUCUUCAUGGUGUUCCUCUGGAGAUGAACUCGAACCGUGGAAGUAUCUUUACUUCUCGCUUCUGGGAGAGUUUUCAGAAUGCCAUGGGGACUCUCUUAUCUUUUAGCACUGCUUUCCAUCCUCAAUCAAGUGGUCAAGUACAAAGGGUGAAUCAAAUCCUAGAAGAUAUGCUCCGAGCUUCUGUUAUAUCGUUCGGUAUGAAUUGGGAGAAGUGUCUUCCAUUCGCCGAAUUUGCUUAUAACAACAGUUACCAAUCAAGCUUGGGCAAAGCUCCUUUUGAAGUUCUCUAUGGACGAAGAUGUCGAACACCUCUUAAUUGGUCAGAAGUCGGAGAGAGGAAACUCUUUGGUCCGGAUAUGAUCUAGGAUGUAGAAGAGAAAGUUCGCAUUAUUCGUGAAAAAUUGAAAACAGCCCAGUCUCGUCAAAAGAGCCAAUAUGAUCGUCAUCAUAAGGCUGUGACCUUUGAAGUUGAUGAGAAGACUUACCUUCGGGUUACACCUUUGAAGGCAACCCAUCGUUUCGGUAUCAAGGGCAAGUUGGCUCCUCGGUAUAUCGGUCCUUUUCGCAUUCUUGCCAAACGAGGAGAAGUUGCCUACCGAUUGGAACUUCCUCCGCAUCUUUCCAAGGUUCAUGAUGUAUUCCACGUGUCGCAACUCACGUGUUGCUUUUUGGAUCCUAUCCGUGAAGUGGACCAUGAAACGCUUGAUCUCCAAGAUAACCUUUCAUACCGAGAAUACCCUGUGUGUAUUCUAGAUCAAGCUGAGUGUACCACUCGACGUCGAAACCUCAAGUUUCAUAAAGUUCAAUGGUCAAAUCAUUCUGAAAAAGAAGCAACAUGGGAAAGAAAGGAUCGUCUUCGACUUGAGUAUCCCACGCUAUUCCCGACGACUUCCAAAUCUCUGGACGAGAUUCUUUUGAGUGGGGGUGAGUUGUCACAUCCCUGGAUUCCCUAUUAGGGUUUAGCAAGUUGUGCUCAUGUCUUCUUUCUUUGAAUCCAAGAAAUGGAAAUGAACUCAAAGGAAGUGGGGAAAUCAAAGCAAAACCGUAGCCACUCCUUAUUCAUAAGAUAAUUCAACAAGUGCCAAAUCAAUGAACCCAAAAUGGCCAUUAGAAAAGUUCAUCUUUGUGUUAAAUGUUGAAAACAAGAUCAGACGUGAAACAUAAUUUCAAAAUACUUUUGGCAUUUUAAUUUUAAGUUAAAAGCUACUGAAAUCAAUUAUAUAUUUGAUUUCAAAUAUUUCAAACUUUCCAAAAAUGUUGAAAACUUUAUAUGUGGAUGGAAAUAUUCCAACUAACACUUCAGUAUCAUUCAAACUAUUUUAGGAAUAGUUUGGAGCCAAAAAUAAAACAAAACAAAGUCAGUAAUUAAAUAACAGAAACAGAAAUGAAAGGAAUAAGAAAAAAACCUAUCUAAUGCUUACCUGAGGCCCAGCCCACCUUUUCCCUGUCGUCUACCUCGUGCCAGCGAGCAGCAGGAGGUGGCCGCCGCUCGCUGUGGCACGGCCAAGCACCUGCGUGCUUGCUUGGACCUCCUCGUCACGCUGGCAAGUAGGAUAAGCCUCCCCGCGAACCAUUCCACCUCUCUCCCUCUCCNCUCAUUCGCCCGCCGUGCCCCUCCCCUCUCGGCCGCCAUUAGAGCUCGAGGUCGAGCACGCCGUUCGCUCCACCUCAACGAGCUGAUCGUCCCUGCCAAAGGAGAAGAGCCCCCGGGCCCUACAUCGCCAGAUCCUCGUCGUCUUCCUCCUCGGUCUGUCGUUGAUCGCCGCCGCCGUUCUCCCUCCUCAGGCCAUCCCCGAGCAUGUUUACUACGCCGCUGCACUCCCUGUGAGCUCAGGGUUCUUUUCCCCUCUUUUCCCCCUUCGAUUCCGAGCUCUAGACCCCGAUUCCACCGGAGCCCGACGAGAUCCGCCGUGGGACCUCGUCGCCGGUAGCCCUCCGGUGAUCGGCUGGUCAAUCUGAGGCCACCAAUGGCUUCAGUACAUUGCAUAGGUGCUGUAGGAGCCUUGCCCCGCGCGUGUUGAGCCCCGUACCAGUGACCCCGAUGAUGCCCGAGCUUCGGCCGCCGCCGAUCUCGUCGUCGGCGUCAUCUCCGGCCAUUUCAACCCCUGAUGCGUGCAAAAAUGGAACCGCGGGUGAAGUCCCGUUCUUCUGGUGCCCUCCGCGUAAAGUUUAGUCGUCGGAAUGGAAAUCCCGAGCCCCUCCGCUGUCUGUGUGGUCGCCGGAGGUUCAUCGCCGGCGAGAUCCACCUCGCCGCCGGUGGAUCUGACUCCCGUGAGUCACUGGCAAGUAGGGCCAGCCCCCACGCUUAUUAGGAUUAGAAAAAUAAAAAGAAAGAUUAUUUUAAAACCUAAUCAGACACUGACAUGUGGGUCCAACCCUGUUAAUUAGUUAUUUAAGUUAAACUUAAACUAAAAAUUGGCCACAGUCACUGACCAGUGGGUCCCACUGGUCAGGUUUGACUUUCAACGGCCAGAUUGACCUCCUGAUCUCAUGUUGAUGCAAUAAAACCUUUUCUGUUUAAAAAUAAUUCCAGAAUAAGUUCCAAACUUUGGAAAUUCAUAGAAAAUUGAAUAUAACUCCAAAUUUGACAAAUAAUAUAUGUAAAAUGAUCAAAAAAGUUCAAGGAAUCUAAUGGUGCUAUUUUCUUGUAUGCAAAACAAAGUUAUGAAACAGCAUCAGGUCAAAUCAAUUAAAGUAAUUUGGUAAAUUAUAAUUCAAAUGAUAUUUGAAUUAUUAUUUCAAAUCAAGAUCACCCAAAAGGUUCUGUUAGUCAUCUCAAACCAUGCUACAUUGCAUUUCAUGCAUCAUUUUGUUGCAUAUGUUUGUUAUUGAUUGAUUGUUGUUAUUCCGGUAGGCUCCGCCUCUUCAGAUACGACUAAUUAUCCGACUGACGGAUAUCACCCCUCUGCUGAGCAACAAGGCAAGCAACCAUUUUGAUCAUCCGAUAAAACCCAUGUUCUCGCUCCUGCUCUUACUUAUUGCAUUAGGUAAAAAUGCUUGCAAUGCUUUUACGACGUUAGUUGAACCCACUUCCUUUGCAUGACCUGUCCUUGUCACAGUAAAUAGCUGAACAUUGCAACCUAGCAUACCAUGCGAUGCUUAGAGUUGUGUAUGGUCUGUCAUCUGGAUGAUGAACAGGAUCGUGAGAAUGUGUUUAGUUAGUAAAGGUUGUGUGUUGAACCUGAUUUGGUAAAGGUACCGGUGAAGGGCUAUGUAGGAGUACAUGGCGGGUUGUUUCAUUGGAACCGUCCUUAGGAACUGAGUUCCGUGUAUGUAAUCCAAGUCAAGAUACUACCACAUGUUGGGCCUUGAAAUAUGACCCCGCUCGACUUAUUAUUCGCCUAGUACCCGGUCCAGGAGUUGCAAGUAGUUUACGGUGUUUAUAGUCAUGCUGGAGGCCGUGCGUAGCGCUGACCUUAGAGGUGGGCUAUGAUGCGGUAGGCAGUGCCACGAUGUACCAAGUGGCUCCCGGAUGGUGGGCUUGGGAACCCUGCGCAUAUCGUUUGGGCCUAUGGCGGAAACCUCAGCAGGACUUGCGUGCGGGUUACCCUCAGAUAGGCGAUAGACCUGGACUAAGUAUUAGCGUGGUUAACGGUCGUGGCCGACUCCCUCGCUGGGCUUCCGCUUGAAGGUUGCCGAGAUGCAUGACGUGCACAUGGCGAUAAGUGCGAGAGCGUGUGUGAGGAAGUACACCCCUGCAGGGUUAUGAUCUAUUCGAAUAGCCGCGCCUAAGGAUAUGGACUACUUGGAAACAUAUGUUGUUCAUAGAUAACUCUAAUGGCUACUCAUAAAAUUGUCAAGAUAAGUGUGAGUGUCGUGGAUGGCCUUUCCGUAGGGAGUCGGAAUGAUUCCAUGAUGGAGUAUUGUUGUGGUGUUAGUGGACUCGUGUGCGAGAAAACAUAGUUGUCUAGCCAAGAGUCAAAUGUUGGCUUUCUGCAUGAAACCCCAAAACUCCUUGUUGAUACAUUGCAUGAGUAGAUAGAUUAUCCUAAAGUCUUGCUGAGUACUUUUGUACUCACGUUUGCUUAAUAAAUUGUUGCAGAGGUUGUUAAUGACCCUAAUGGGGCGUUUUACCUAGACGUUGACAACGACGAGUAGCUGGUGUCCCAGCUACGAUCUGGCCCUAGGUUGGGUCUGUAGAUAGUCAGGCCAUGUGCCUUUAUCUUUCCAGCUGUCUAUACUCAGACAGUUUUAUUCUUCCGCUGGCUUGUAAGAUUUGUGUGUAUGACUUGUGAUGAUGGGUCGUGAUACGCCUAUCUCUGUAAUAUUAUGUGUGAGGCUCUUCCAAGCCUUCUAAAUAAAGUUUGUAUGUUUAUGGUUAUGUUGUGAUACCAUCGAUGUAUCUAUGCAUAUCGGUAUGCCAUGCGUACGUGUGUUGUACAUGAUGUGUAUGGGGUUCGAAUACCUAGUCGUAUGCCUUAGUACCACUCCUUACGGGGAAAUGCCCCUUUGUGAUUCCAUCGAGCCAUGGUAGUUCGCUACUGCUCCGGACUCAUUGGAUGACCGGCAUGUGUCCUUCUUAGCUGUUGUGUCUGUCCCUUUGGGAAAUGUCACGCGUUGUAAUGGAGUCCUUGUAGCUUGCUACAACUCGUCUACAUUCGCUGAUGACCGACACCUGCUUUGCUGGGUAAUGUAUGCUUGUCCGUGUAUGGAACUGUCGCUUGAGUUUACGACUAGACAUGUCGAUUCGGGUUCUCUGACAUUGGAUUGCUAGCGACACAAUUGCAUACGCGAGUCAAAAGGCGCAAACGGUCCCGGCUAAGGUAAGGCUGCAGCCGUGGGGAUAACCGUGCGUGAGACCGCAAAGAGAUGUGAUGUGUUAGAGGCUGGAUUCCUAUGACUUAGGAUCGGGGUCCCGACAAUUGACUUCAUUACGAACAGAGUAACGCCUUAAGCAAGAUGACAUGAUGUAGAGGGAUAAAUUCAUGCAAUAGAUAUAAACCCCAUCUUUUUACCCUUGAUGGAAACAAUGCGAUGGGUGCCUCGCUGCCCCUUCUGUCACUGGGAAAGGUCUCCGCACGGUAUGAACCCAAAACCAAGCACUUCUCCCAUUGAAAGAAUCAUAGAUCAAGUUAGCCAAAAAAAACCCACAACUCGAAGAGAAUUACAAGGAUAUGAAAUCAUGCAUAUAAGAGAUCAGAAGAAACUCAAAUAAGAUUCAUAGAUAAUCUGAUCAUAAAUCCACAAUUCAUCGGAUCUCGACAAACACAUCGCAAAAGAAGAUUACAUCGGAUAGAUCUCCAUGAAGAUCAUGGAGAACUUUGUAUUGAAGAUCCACGAGAGAGAAGAAGCCAUCUAGCUACUAGCUAUGGACCCGAAGGUCUAUGGUGAACUACUCAAGCAUCAUCGGAGAUAUCAUGGUGUUGAUGAAGAAGUCCUCCAUAUCGGAAUCCCCCUCCGGCACGGCACCGGAACGUGCCCCAGAUGGGAUCUUGCGGAGACAGAAGCUUGCGGCGGCGGAAAAGUUUUUUCGUGGAUCUCUCGCGCAGUUUUGGAUUUUUCGGGAAUUUAUAGGCGGAAGAGGUAGGGCAGUCGAGCCACAGGGUGCCCACAAGCCUGCUAGGCACGCCCCCCUGGCAGCGCCUAGGGGGCUUGUGGCCUCCCCUGCUGGCCUCUGCCUUGGUUCUCACGCCCCCUGCGUAUCUUCUGUUCCGGAAAAAUCUUUUCGGAAGUUUUAUUCCGUUUGGACUCCGUUUAAUAUUCUCCUCUGAAAAGGGUCAAAAACACGGAAAAAACAGGAACUGGCACUUGGCACUGAGUUAAUAAGUUAGUCCCAAAAAAGAUAUAGAACGCAUACAAAACAUCCAAAGUUUGAUAAUAUAAUAGCAUGAAACCAUCAAAAAUUAUAGAUACGUUGGAGACGUAUUAGUGUGUCACAAAUCCGUCAAGCAAAUCUCAAUUGCUUACCAAUUCUUGCCCAACAGCAGGUGGCGAUCGGCAACCGGUGUAGUCAAACUCUCUCAAAGCUUGGAUAGAGAGAUUGCCAGGUGGUGUCAAACAUAUGAUGUAGAUGUAUGUGGAGCUGGGAAGGCUUAUAAUAUGGUAGCAAGACGGGUCAGCAAUAAUCAGUUCACAGAUGCAAGAUUGAAAAGAUGCUCAACGACAGUAUCGUGUUGGUCCUAGGCUAGACCGUACUAGAGACGCGACCCUAGAACACCAACGAAGUCACAAUGACACGUACUAACCAAGGGAAGAGCCACUCUGAAUUUUUUUUCUCUUUUUUCGUUUUUUUGCGCCUUUUUUUCUUCAGAAAAUCACUAUAAUGGCGAGUGUCUCAAAACUCUUUCCAAGCACCAAAAACAGGAUAGGCACGAGUUUUUUUUUAAUUUGUGGAACAAUUCGGGGAUGCGACGACUAAAAAUUGCAACAAAAAUCACUAUGAUGGCGAGUGUCUCAAAACUCUCUAAAAAGCCUAACAAAACGAUAGGGAAAAAAUUUCACCCCUCGAAAUUUUGGCCUAAAAAGUGAUGUGGAAAGCAUGUGAGACUCACGUAAGGAAACACGAAACCAAAAUCAAACAGAUCACGAAAUUAACCUAAGACGAAAAGGAUGCAGACUAGGAUUGUGGUGGGUAUAUGGUGGUGGUAUAUGGUAGCAAGGAUAAUGGUGGCGUGGUGGGGGUAUAUGGCAGCAGCGAUGAUGCUAGCGUGGAGGUGGUAUAUGGCACCAACGCUGAUGGUAGCGUGGAGGUGAUAUAUGGCACCGAUGAAAGACGGUGCGGCGGCGGCGUGACAACCUGUCAACAUAACCUGAAACUCUAAAGGACUAGAUACUAAGACCAGCAGCUCAACACGACGAUGUAACCGCAAAUUCAACUAAGCAAACUACUGAAAAGACUAUACAAAGGCUCAGAUUGGUUCGGAUAUGAUGAUCUAACCCUAAUUGUUUUUAUGGAUUUUUCGUGGACGAUAGGUAUAAAUAACAGAUGCGAUCUAACUACGAUAAACUGGUAAAAUCUCACCGAGCAACCUGGAAAUCUGAUACCACUUGAUAGAGGCGAAGUUGUCCCUGUCUUUCGAGGAAAUCGUGGGAAUCGUUUUGGUGGAGUAGCCUUUGACGAUCCGACUACAAACGUGCGAGGACGUCGCGCCUUAGCAAUCUCUAAACCAACUCCGAGAGGUUAUUGACCACGCCAGAGCACGAUCAACCUGACCACGAAGGUCUGUUUUCUGCACGCAAACAAAGAACAAGCAAGAAACCAAGAUGCAAUCAACAUAUUGCGAGUAGAAGAGGAAAGAUUUAUUGAUGAAGGUGGGGUUCUGUGACGCCUUUGUCUGGUCGUAGAACACAAACGAAGAACACGAAGUUGCAGCUAUGGCGAACUUGUAAUCUAAACAAAACCCAAGUCUAAACGAUGCCCUAAGGGUUGUAUAUAUGAGGGAAUAGAGAGGCAAUUUCGUGACCCUUGGAGGAGGGGUCCGAAAACAGCCCUAAACUCGGUUUCCCCACACGUUCGUACUGUAAAAAUAGCCUAUAUUAUGGUAUUUUGAAAUUACAUGGGCCUGGCCCAAAAAUAAGGUGGCGCAACACCUAUAAUAGCCUAUGGACGAAAUUUAUAAGGCGACGUCUUGAAUAUUUUGCCCAAAGCCUUCAUGCUUCCUUAUGGUGGCUUUAAAGAGCGAAAAUCACGAGUGGAAGCUCCAUUGUUCUCUCCCGCGCGUGCACCUUCUUCUCCAUGCUUGAUCCCGCUCCAACGGAUAUCUUUCUUAUCCAUGCUAGGUCCUUCAUUCAUGAGAACAACAAAAGUAUCUAACUUAGGCAGCAUCAUAUGUUCAUGAACAUUAGAAGUAUUCCCAAGAAAUGAAAGUACCUGGUAAUUCAAUUGGCGUGCACGAGCUCUAGUAACUGGUCCAGUAUGUAUAGCAGCUGGGGCUGUGGGUGUAACAACGGUGUUGAUGUCCUCAUCAUCUAGCGUCACCGAACCUUAACUGUGUAGACCCUGCGGGACCGAGACAUCUCUCCGGCCAAUAACCAACAAUAGUGUCUGGAUAUCCAUGUUCGCUCCCACAUGUUCUACGAUGAUCUCAUUGGAUGAACCACAAUGUCGAGGAUUCUCUCAAUCCCGUAUACAAUUCCCUUUGUGUGCCGGUAUGACACUUGCCCGAGAUUCGAUCAUCGUAUCCCUAUACCUUGUUCAAUCUUGUUAUCGGCAAGUCUCUUUUCUCGUUCCCUAACAAAUCAUCCCGUGGCUAACUCCUUAGUCACACUGAGCUCAUUAUGAUGAUGCAUUACCGAGUGGGCCUAGAGAUACCUCUCCGUCACACGGAGCGACAAAUCCCAGUCUCGAUUCGUACCAACCCAACAGACACUUUCGAAGAUACCUAUAGUGCACCUUUAUAAUCGCCCAGUUACAUUGUGAUAUUUGGUACACCCAAAGCAGUCUUACGGCAUCCAGGAGUUGCACAAUCUCAUGGUCUAAAGAAAUGAUACUCGACAUUAGAAAAGCUUUAGCCGACGAACUACACGAUAUUAUGCUAUGCUUAGGAUUGGGUCUUGUCCAUCACAACAUUCUCCUAAUGAUGUGACCCCGUUACCAAUGACAUCUAAUGUCCAUGAUCAAGAAAUCAUGAACAUCUAUUGAUCAACGAGCUAGCCAACUAGAGGCCCACGAGGGACAUGUUGUGGUCUAUAUAUUCACACAUGUAUUACGGUUUCCAUUUAAUAAAAUUAUAGCAUGAACUAUAGACAAUUAUAACGAACAAGGAAAUAUAAUAAUAACCAAUUUAUUAUUGCCUCUAGGGCAUAUUUCCAACAUGUGGUGGGGCUGUACACACCCCAGAGCCUCCCGGUGUGCCACCCCUUAGCAUCAGCAGAACUCCUGCCCACACCCAAGUGGAAGCCCCGUGCUACAUGCCGAUGGAAUGGUUGAAUCGCAACCAUGCCCAUGCCCAAGUGGAAGCCCCAUGCCCCCACACUAGUAGAACGAUCAAACUAUGAUCAUACCCACACCCAAGUGGAAGCCCCAUGCUCCCUUCUGGUGGAAAGUCAACUGAGAGCGCCCCACAGGCCGCGUUGACCUGAGGAUGAAUCGUGCGUGACACGACAGCUGUUGGCUUUCUUCCACGGCACUUGCUCGCCAGUUUCCGCUUGAGCCUCAUGCGAGCGGGGGCUGGAUACAGUUUGUGUGAUCAGGUUAGUCCCAACAGCGCUAAAAACCCCUAGGUACUAGGCUCUGGCUCACGGGCAUGCUCACGCGCACGUCACGCCACCAAGGCCCUUGGUGUCUGGUCUCCUUACAUGACACCCAAGUGCAAGCCGUCGAGAGCGCGUUGUAUGAAAUGAAGUUUUUGCGUGCAUGAUAUUUCCUCGGACUGGAUCACUCGAGGAGUCUCACAAGGCGUGUCCGGCAAGUGGCAAACUAUUGGCAUUGCAAAGGACUAAGUAUGAGAACACCCCCCCCCCCCGAGGGAAGCCUCGCCAUUGCUAAUGUUUUACCUCAUGCGGACCACUUGCGUGUCAAGGGGAGACUCAUGGGCAUCGCGCUUCAGGAGCCUUCACUAGCUCCCGGAGCCCAUCACCUCCAGCUUUGUCCAUGCACCGCGACUUGACAUACCAGCGACAGCUGUCGAUCACUUGGGGGCUGGGUCCCGGCAACAAAGAGAACUCGAGCAAGAAAGGGAGAAGGGGAGAACUACGCGAGGGGAACUCAGAAGUGGGCGCAUGGUUCAAAAUGCAAAGGCAUUGCUUGCAAAGGGCAACAAUUUUUCACACACCCCUCUCAGAGCUUACAUUGAUCCAUCGCAGGAUGGAAGAUGCCAUAAUAAAACACCCAAGAUGUGGUCCUAUCCUUAUUUUAGCUCGAGGACCUUGAUGGGGAUAGAAGCGCAUCUCGUCGUUUUGCAAGAAUGAAUAUCGUUACUAGUACAUGUACAAAAGAGAUGAUUAUAUGGAAUUGGCUUAGACUCGCCACAAUCUACAAUAUGAACAUCUCAAUACAGCAAUUGAACAUCAUGUAGAAGAGGAGGGUCCGACUACGGACGAAAACAAAUAAUAAAACAACGAUGUCUAUCAUUGCUAUCCCAGGCUACUGGCUUGGGACCCAUCCUAGAUAGAUGAAGAAAAGAAGAAGAAGAAACUCCAAAUAGAACAAUAAUCGCGCUCACGUCAAGUAUCGCUCUACCUGUACCUGAAACUCUUGUUGUAGUAAUCUAUGAGCCACAGGGACUCAACAAUCUCAUUUCCAAAGGUAUCAAGAUUAGAAAAGCUUAAUGGGUGAGGUAUGGUUAAGUGUUGAGGCUGCAACAAGCAACUAAGCAUUUAUUGAAGGUGGCUAAAUUAUGAGUACAAUAAUAAGAGGAGGAUGAUCUACACAUAAUAGAGGUGAACUAAACAUGAUCACAAAGUGAUCCAGAACACCUCCUUAUGUCAAACAUAACCCCGCGUGUCCAUUCUCGGAUACAGAGCUCAUGAGAAGAGACAAUCACGGUUACGCACACAAUUGGCAAGUUUUAAUUAAAUUUGUACUUCAGGUUUCUAUGACCGGGUGUUAAACCAAGUUUCCAUGUGGCCACAUAACCACGGGCAUGACUUUUCAAAAGAUUUAACCCAACACGGGUGCUCCAACUAGUCCAUCACAAACUACCACAAGCUGCGUGGAAUAAAUUCAACCACAGAAAACUCAUAGUCUCCUCAAAAUUCUGAUGAAAAACCUCAACCUCGAGAUAGCUCAAACUAUUCUCGGGAUUACUCGCACAAUACAUUCAAGAAAGGUAAAACAAAUCCAGCAAGACCGCCCGACGUGCCGACGAUCUCAAUAGGAGCCACAUAUCUCGUUCUCAGGGCACAAUCAGACGAGCUAGGCGUAUGGUGGCCUGAUAGAAAUCUCGUGAGUUGCCCCGAGUUGGCCCCACACGGUGCUCUGUUUAGGACCAGUACCAUCAGCACUGGCCCUCCCUCUAUUAUUUGAAUUACUCCUCGGGUUUAUGGCACCCUAUGUUUUAAUAACGGUGUUCAAUAUUAUUAUGUUGGGUAAAUAUAGUACCAAUGUUGGGCCUUGCCAGAAGAGUUUUAUCCCAAAAAGAAAGUCAAGGGGGUCCCCAUGACAACCCCAAGCAUGUUAGGAGUGUUCAAAUAUGGAAUAUAACACCGAUACACAAGUAGCUAGGCCGAUAAAGAUGGAACAAAACACCAUGCUAGAAGGCCAAGACUUCCACCUUUUACCAAGUGUAUAGAUGCAUUAAAUUAAUUAGCAAUAAUGUGGUGACAUUCAGAAUAAUAUCCAUGUUGUCACGUGGAAGCAACUCACUUGCAAUUAGCAACGCUAUAAGAAGGGCUAAGCAAGCGGUAACAUAGCCAAAUAGGGUUUGCUGGGUUGUGGAAGAGUCAGAGGCUUUUCAUGGCAAUGUUGGGAGGUUUGACAUAACAGGUGGUAGGCAAUGAGACAUAGCGAUAGAAAUAAAACAACUAGCAUGACAAUGAUAGUACUGGUAUCUAGGGAAAUAAUCAUCUAUCAUGUAUUCCCGCUUGGAAGAAGAACGGAUCCGUGAAACAGACGAACGAGCGCAGUCGAACAAAUCCGCGCAUUCCAAAGCUGUUUGGAACUCUACCGAGAAGAAACAAUCAGGAAAUAACAAUCAACACACAAUAAACACCACAACAUAUUCAUGACAUGAUGCAUAAACACAUAUGAUGCAUGUCCGAUUUAAAUAUGUGGGGCAUGAUAAUCUCAACAAUCAAAUACAACACAUUAACAGAAGCUCAAUAUGCAAAACGCCACAUUCAAAUCAUUUAGUUCACUCCCGUUUAGAUACACGACAAGUUUAAAUGUUGUUAAACAUGGUAAAAGGUGAAGCAUAAUUAAACUACACUAUCUAGGCAUUUUAAAUGAGGUCGGAAAAAACAUAUAGCAUUUCCGAAGCGACCCCAUAUGCGAAUUUCAUAAUUGGUCCAUAUCUGCCUAAAACAUGUUUUAUAUUUCUUAAAUAGCAAAAUAAAGUGGACAAUGUGCUUUUACAUGUCAUUAUAGUCGAUUUACAUAUAUAAAACAUCUAAGACGAAGCUACGCUCUAAAAGAUAAGACCAACACAAAAUAAUAUGAUCUGGAUGUAGAAUGUAUGCAAACAACAAAACUAACAUGUUAAAGCAUGGAUGCAACAAGAUAUUAUGGAACUACAUGAAAUUCUAGGCAAGUUAAAAUGAGGCCGUAAAAGCGAAUAACAAUUCUGAAAAGUUCUCAUAUGCAAAUUAAGAUUUUGGUACUUUUCUACCUAUAACACAAUUUUAGAGUCGUUAAACAAAAAAAAAUAAAUGUCACCAUGUUAUUCUACACAUUUUUCUAGUCAAGUUACAUAUGUGGAUCAUUUUAAUCGGAGCUAAGGUUAACUAAUUAUGAGACAAACCGUUAUUCACAUGGCAUUAUGCAAAUUAAAUGAAAACAACAAGUUAAAAAAAUUAAUCAUGGUUGAAAGUUACACAAAAUGCUAAGCAUUUUUCAUGUAUAUAAAGGUUUUUAAUUCGAUGCACGGUUAUUUAGUUGAGAGCAACGCAAAUUAAAGUCAUUUUUGUGGAAUCAUGAAGUACAUUGGACAAAUGACAAAUUCACAGCGAGUAAAAAAUGAUUUUGCCGGAUUGCAGCUUAGUGCAACAACCCACGUGUGGAAUCGGCCCAAGUGGCCAUGUGCUCGAUUGAAAAAAAGCCAGACGCAGAAAAACCAUUGAUCCCUCCUUGGAUUCGACCCCAAGAACUCAUGGAUCGGAUGUAGUUGGUUCUACUCUGCGCUACUGCGUGUGCUUGUGCAAAAAUGAGGGCGCUGCUUAUAUUAAACUAACACAACGGUCAAGACUUUCUCACCAUGAAUUCGUGACUAACAUAGCCAUGACGGAAGGCAACAACAACAGUUGCUGUUGACAGAGGGCUGGCGAGGGCAGUUGGGGAUGGACAGAUCCGAAGCUCCCCGGUAUGGAUCCGACCAAGCAUCAAGGCGACGCGUCGAGCUGGAGGUGCAGGAGGCCAUCAAUGGCUGUGGGGUAAACGCAGCCCGGCGGAGUGGCGAAGGUGUAUGGUGGUGCGAAGAGGAGGCGGCACGGGGUGGGUGAGCGGGAACCAAGCCGGAUCUGGUCGGUGGCGCGUUGAAGGACGCCCGGGCCGUCGCGGGUGGAGCUCCCCUUGGGCAUCCAUAGCGCCUGCAGGAUAGAAGAGAGAGAAGGGGAGGUUAGCGAGAGAGGGAGAAGAAGGGGAGGAAGGAAGAGAGGAGGAGGAGGAUGAUGAGGUCCUUCCCUGGCAGUGGUCUCCAUAGAGGUCGCGCUGAUGGGGUUCGAUGGCUCUACUCGCCGACGCUAGUGCUAGAGGGCGAGGCAUGGCUUGCUCGGAGCAGAGCGCGGCCGCUUGCGUGGCUGCGGGAGCUUCGAUCCUGUGGUCGCACGGACGAAGCAAGCUGCGGGCGGCUGGACGCGUCCAUGCGCAGCAGGGGCUGGCUGCGUGAUGCGGUUGGCUGGGAUGUAUCCCGAGGAAGAUGCGGCUAGCGGCGGCGGGAUGGGAUAAAGGGGAGGAUUUCUAGGGUUGUCCAAAAUAGGUCUAGGUUUUGAAAAUAAAUAUCAGGGUUUCUGCGAUCUAAAUCGGAAGGUCGAGGUUAAAUAUGUAAGAGGGCAAUUGAAAAACCGAUCAUGGUUUGGCGUAUUACGGAGUAGAUCCGGACCCAACGAUUAUGACAGUAUGUUUCGUGUUUUGGGGUGUUUUCGGGCUUGAUUGCGCAUAGGGUAUGUGCAUUGUGUAGAUGGUCUAUGCAUAGAAGAAAGAGAAAAUGGGCAGCUCGAUAUCAGAUUUUUGAACACCGAAAAUGUCUCACCUUUCGUCGGCUAUAGUAUCACUAUAGGUUUAACGAUUGGGAUAUCAAAUGGACUCCGAAUGCGAAAAAAUUUGGCACACGGUCUACCUACAAUCUAUUGAGACCGCACGCCAACUUUCAACCCAUUCCGAGAAUGUUUUAUACACACU
rnacentral:lncRNA from 1 species